UUUGGGCUCAACUCUACCGACUGAGAAUGCAAACGAGUGAGAAUGCAUCAUUCGCGGGCUGGAACACAUCAUUGACAAGUAAGUAAGUUGUUUAUCGUUAACUGCUAAUGACACUUAAAGCAAAACUCGGCUCUAUGAAAAUGAUUAAUCAAUGCGACAGUCUGCAUGUAUUGAUUAUUCAAAUUCUAUUUAUUUCUCUGUCACGGUGGUUUGAAGACCAACAUUAGUCAAUUGUAACUGCUAAAGCUACUAAGCUCCAUUAAAAGUUCAGGCCACACAUUGUGUUGUAUUGACUAGCAGAAGUAAUAUGUCUGCAAAGUCCAGGAAGAAUCUUAGAGUUGAGGAUUCUCACACAGGGAUGUUCUUAUACUCAAGUUACGAUGUACAGGUACAAUGGCUGUCCUCGAUCUAAAAUAUACUCUAAUAAUAAUAAUUAUAAUAAUGAUGAUAAUACCCAACAAAUGUGGAAAAACAUGUUCUCCAUAUGCAAUUGUUUAGAAGUAGUUAGUUAAAUCAAAUGCUUAUCAUAAAAUGCUUAAAGUUGCUUUGGAAGAAGUAGGGUAAUAUUCUGUAAUGAACCUUGACAUAGGUUUCCACUCACAAAUAAACCCGAACCUACGAUAAUAUGAUCCUGUAUCCUGAUCACUAUUUGCAGCUGAGAAUUGUUAAUAACUGUUAAUUAGGUCAUAGGUGUUUUAUAGCAACCUAAGUUUUGUCUGUUUUCCCUCAGAUUGCUAUAUCUAUCUUUGCACACCAAGAUGUUAUUCUGACAAUCUUGACAAACUGUUCACUCAUGACCAAUUGAUCACUAAUAGGACCACACUAUAGUUAUUGUAAUACAAAUUUAUUAUAGAUAAAAAGGCCUCUGAUGGACGAACUCUAACAUUUUUUUCUCUUUUCCUUUUCAGUCAAAAUGCCCGGGUCAACAAUGAAAACCUGCAUAUCUUGCAUGCAGCAUAUACGUGUUGCAUGCAAGAUAUGCAAACUUUGUGGAGCCCAACAGCAAAUGAAAAAGGCUGUUGAAAAAGCUAAAGGUAAAGCCGACAGGGAAUGGGGAGCCAAGCUUAAAAAAGGUGGAAAUUUGAACAAAUUGAUGAAUGCUGCCCCGGUUCUGGUAAGCUCUUCACUACCUGUAGCCUGCCGACUCUUCACACUAGUUACCUAUCCCGGUCGAAUGGAUGUAUAAUAGUAAUAAUUAUCAUAAUUAUUAUAAUUAAUUUUAUUUGUAUAGAACAUUUGUAACAUUCAUGCUCAAAUCGGACAAUCAUAUAAUACAACAUAUAAAAUUGAUAGUCAUUGUUUUUUCUACCCUCCCAAGGUCAUAGUCCCAUUUCUUACUAAAUUUACUGCCCAGAAAACUGUAAAAAAACUCUAUUAAAAUCUUUUUAAAGCUAUAAGGUGGACAGGUUAUAGGCCAUACUGUUUGACCAGAUCAGGGCCAUGGUCAAUUCGAACAACAAGGAUAUGGAGGCACUGACAAUAUAAUGUUUUUUGUUUUUAAUAGUUAAUCCAUUUUUAUUAUGUUCCCGAUUUGUUUUCAGGUUCACAAAUUGAAAAUGGCGGGGUUGCAUCCAAUGCUUCUCUUUGGGAGGGAGAAGAAGGGCUCUGUGACGGCUGACUCCAUCAGUGGCCUGGAGCUAGUUUCAGACACCAAUUACAAGUCCUUGAAAAUCAUAGAAGGACUGUAUGGAAGCCUUGUGACAGGAUCAAGACAGAUUAACACUCCCAAACAGUGAUUGUUAAAAGAGAGAGGGCCAACCCAUUAACUCCGGUGGACCCAGAGGGACCGAGGGAACUGGCUGAAUCCCCUCUUCAUCCAGAAGCAACGGAGGAGGAGGGAGAGGAAGGGGAGGAAGGGGAGGAGGAAGAGACAUUCGACUUC